UCACUAUUGGACUGUCUAACCUGCCGGAGCAGUACUGAAUGAUCACCACACAUGAGCAUGUUCCUGCAACAUUCAGCAGCUCUGCUUUUGCUGGAGAGGAAACUACACCAGUGUACUGGGAUGUUUCAGCAACACGUGCCAGAUGCUGUUCCUUCAUGGUGACAUCACCAGAGACAGCCCCGCCCACCUCAUGACCUCGCCAUUGAUCAUAAUGAUUUUAAUGAUGACAGCGAGCGGAACUAAGACUGUAAAAAUCUGAAUGUUUAGAUGCUUUCUAUUUAUUCAUGAAUACUGAGAGCCUCUUUCUGUGUUUUGUCUGUUUUGUUUUUUUUUUACCUCAUUUGUUACUAACAAAGUUCACCAAACUCACACAGUUUACAUUCUGUAUGUUUCCAUCUUUACCAGCCACACUCUACCCGCAAUUAAGAAAAUAAUCCUUAGAAAUUGUCGUUUUUCUCUUUUGUAAUUUUGUAAUUCAGUGAAUAUACUGCGCUGCUUCCUUUAAUUGCGUCUCACAUUGCUUUAAGUUUUUCCAGUGUCCAGUUAUUUUUUACUGUUGUUUGAAUUCUCUGUAUGUUUGACCCUGUAGACUGUUUAAUGGACUGCUUGUCUUGUAACCGCUGCCUGUUUUUGACUAAAGAUUUGGAUUUCUGACUUUAACACA